AAAAUACGGAGUACUCCCGCGGAUGGAGGGGGAGCGAAUGGCGGUAACGGAGGUUAAGGUUCCGGUGAUGGAAGAGAGAAGGUGAGUUGCCAUGGAAAUGCUUUUGAAGCGGAGAUUGAACAUGUGCAUUGCGACGAAAACCUGAGGGGGAUCCUAAUGCUACAGUCGUGCAACGUUGAAGAAUGGUGAAAGUAAAUGAUUGUAAAACGGCUUCCGAGAAGUAUGAAUCAUCGGUUGCUUAAAAAUGAUGGAAUUCAUCAAGUAGGAGUGGAGGGCCAGGUUUAUAAAGGGGAUCUCUGAUACACGCAUCCGUGGAACCAUGAUCACAAAACAGAUAAGUCUCUUUCCAUCCCUUCAACUAUUUUGUUCUAUAACUCAUUAAAUUAUGCGUUGAAUUGAAGAAGAGAUGUCUACAAUUCGUAAUUCCUUUAUGAAAUUCAGUGAUACUCUUUCCAUUGAGCUACAUGGAUUGUCGAAAUAAAUCUAAGCAUAACGAAUUUACUCACGAUCAAGGUCGGAGAUAUGGCAGACAGGUUAAAAUAGUACGGAGCACUAAGGUUUGGGUUUUCUGAUCACCAUUGGUGCGUCUCUCGGAUGUGGGACACUCGCGCCUUGCACGGUAUCUUCUGGCGUGUGGAUAUGCGUUCAUAUGCCUGCCUCUGCUUUCUCCAUAGGAUGAUUCCGAACCAAAGGUGAAAUUAC